UUGGUAGCUGAGGUAGGCAUGAAUGCUCUACUGGAGGAAGAGAGUGCCAAGAACUUUUGCUUGAUCCUUAAGGCUAUGAGCUGUUGCUUUAGAUGACCUUGGGAACUCAUCAUCAGGACAUAAAAUGUUUCUGGCCAUCUGAGUAUAAUAAUGAGGCAGCUGUACAGCUCACUUUGUUUAUACCUAUUUGGGCUCAGACCUGUUGCCGUGUCCUCUGGAUGAACCUUUCUCAUCUCAGACCCUGCGAUUUGAUGUCUGCUCCAAGCAUUGGUUGAAGACCAAGUUUCAGCAGUUCAUUUACUUCGAUGUGAAAUUUAGUGGAUCUAAAUCAUCACCUUUUUGUGUUCAAGUGGAUCAGAUUUGCCCCUACUUAGGAUUGCUAUCAGCCAAUGUGGAUGACAGUCUCUGCCUGAGAAAUACAUCGAGAUGAGCUGAAGUUGAAACGAGCUGAGCUGCUCCCUCACUGGAUGACAUGUAAAGGCUUCCAACCAUGCCAUAAGAUCUUUUCUGCUGCUCGUGGUUUCCUUGAACUGUGACUUCAGUUUUGCCAUUCAUGUGUUUCCUACUGUAUAUUGCACCUGUUUGAAAGUUGUUUAGAGAGAACGAAGUAACCUUCAUGAACAAAUGGGCAGAAAUGAAGGAAGGAGACGAGGAGAGCUGCAAGAGGUGGUGGAAAGCAAGUUCCCCUAUUCUGGAAGUGGAGCUGUAUUGCAUUGGUGUCUGUUAAUAGUUCUCUUAAAAGGCAGUCUGUUAACCAUGGAAGCACAAUAUUAUUGCCUUCUUCCAGCUGUGCAGUGAGUAGAUAAAACAGUAUUUCAGUCAUUGUUUUUAAGGAUAUGAACGUAUUCUCCUGGAAACAAUUCCUAACUUGGAAGGAGUGAAGAUUAUAUAUUUCUCCCUAAUCCCAAUUUUCUUUAAACAAAUAACUUCCCCUUUGCUUUUUGCUUCCAUCCUCGUAUUGCAACUAAAUGAACGAAGUUAAGUCAUUAGUACACUCCGGUCUUCAAUAUUCUUUGUACAAAGUUAUGGGGAAAGUAAUCAAUAAACAUUUUUGUUUCUUGUAGCCUCUGGGCUGCAGUGCAGUUGC
rnacentral:lncRNA from 7 species